AGCCUGAUGACCAUAGCGAGGUGGUCCCACCCCUUCCCAUCCCGAACAGGAUCGUGAAACACCUCAGCGCCGAUGAUAGUGCGGAUUCCCGUGUGAAAGUAGGACAUCGUCAGGCUA
rnacentral:rRNA from 1 species